GCCGGAGUGUCGAAAUUGGUAUACGAGCACGCUUGAGGUGCGUGUGCCGAAAGGCGUGCAGGUUCAAGUCCUGUCUCCGGCA
rnacentral:tRNA from 1 species